rnacentral:misc_RNA from 1 species
GUGAAUCAUCGAAUUUUUGAACGCAAAUUGCACUCUCUUCGGAGAGUAUGACUGUUUGAGGGUCAGCAUAAAAAAAAUCUACAUAGUCGGUGUUUUGCGGUGACAUUCGGCGGAAAUUGGGUAAUCUUAAACUUUUGGGUUUUAAGCGGGUUAAAAUUUUUUUUACGAUUGCACGAACGUUUUUAAGAUUGACUUAUUACACGUUUAAGGUAAUGAUUUUUAUUAGACGUUGCAGUUG